CACGCCGCGUGAGGGAUGAAGGCCUCUGGGCUGUAAACCUCUUUUCUCAAGGAAGAAGAACUGACGGUACUUGAGGAAUAAGCCACGGCUAAUUCCGUGCCAGCAGCCGCGGUAAUACGGGAGUGGCAAGCGUUAUCCGGAAUUAUUGGGCGUAAAGCGUCCGCAGGCGGCCUCGUAAGUCUGUCGUUAAAGCGUGGAGCUUAACUCCAUUUCAGCGAUGGAAACUGUGAGGCUUGAGUGUGGUAGGGGCAGAGGGAAUUCCCGGUGUAGCGGUGAAAUGCGUAGAUAUCGGGAAGAACACCAGUGGCGAAGGCGCUCUGCUGGGCCAUAACUGACGCUCAUGGACGAAAGCCAGGGGAGCGAAAGGGAUUAGAUAGCCCUGUAGUCCUGGCCGUAAACGAUGAACACUAGGUGUCGGGGGAAUCGAACCCCUCGGUGUCGUAGCCAACGCGUUAAGUGUUCCGCCUGGGGAGUACGCACGCAAGUGUGAAACUCAAAGGAAUUGACGGGGGCCCGCACAAGCGGUGGAGUAUGUGGUCUAAUUCGAUGCAACGCGAAGAACUUUACAGGGUUUGACAUCCUGC
rnacentral:rRNA from 1 species